rnacentral:rRNA from 1 species
UACGUAGGGUGCAAGCGUUUAAUCGGAAUUACUGGGCGUAAAGCGUGCGCAGGCGGUUAUGUAAGACAGAUGUGAAAUCCCAGGGCUCAACCUUGGAACUGCAUUUGUGACUGCAUAGCUAGAGUACGGUAGAGGGGGAUGGAAUUCCGCGUGUAGCAGUGAAAUGCGUAGAUAUGCGGAGGAACACCGAUGGCGAAGGCAAUCCCCUGGACCUGUACUGACGCUCAUGCACGAAAGCGUGGGGAGCAAACAGG